rnacentral:lncRNA from 7 species
AACAUGCGCUGCCUGCUGCGUCCGGCGUCCGCGGUUGGCUACAUGCUACAGCGUGGAGGUGGAUGGAUGGGUGGGCAGGAGCAGGAUGAUGCCCUCGGUCCGCCGGCAUAACUAACUGCACGCGGGCGUAGCGGCAGACGACCGGACCGAGGCACACGUAUUUCAUUUGCUGCUGCUGGUGAUGCCGGCGGGGGCCUGGGCAGAUCACUGAAUGAAGCAGUGUCUGCAGAUUAUCGUACUGCGUAGUACUAGGAUUGGUAGAUGGACAAGAAGGUACUUAUUCACACAUAGUAGCUAGUAAUAGCGUCAGUAGAGUAGUAGCUGUUGCACGUGCUAGUAUUUACCACUGGAACGGCGCCUGUCGCGACCAAGCGAAGCGUUGCCGAUUGUCGUACUGCCCUGCCAUCUCUUUAAGCGACGCGUUGCUGCUACUACUACUGUGUUCGGCCUCCACUUCCCAGACACACCAAAC